rnacentral:rRNA from 1 species
UACGUAGGGGGGCUAGCGUUGUCCGGAUUUAUUGGGCGUAAAGAGCGUGUAGGCGGCCAGGUAGGUCUGCUGUGAAACUCGAGGCUCAACCUCGAGACGUCGGCGGAAACCAUCUGGCUAGAGUCCGGAAGAGGAGAGUGGAAUUCCUGGUGUAGCGGUGAAAUGCGCAGAUAUCAGGAAGAACACCUGUGGCGAAGGCGGCUCUCUGGGACGGUACUGACGCUGAGACGCGAAAGCGUGGGAGCGAACAGG